rnacentral:rRNA from 1 species
UACGUAGGUGACCAGCGUUGUCCGGAUUUACUGGGCGUAAAGAGCGCGCAGGCGGUCGUUCAAGUCGAGUGUGAAAGCCCCCGGCUCAACUGGGGAGGGUCACUCGAUACUGAUCGACUUGAAGGCAGGAGAGGGAAGCGGAAUUCCCGGUGUAGUGGUGAAAUGCGUAGAUAUCGGGAGGAACACCGGUGGCGAAGGCGGCGACCUGGGUCGAGACUGACGCUGAGGCGCGAAAGCGUGGGGAGCAAACAGG